AGAUAUGCUCGUAUAGUAGCGAGCAAUUAAAUCAAAAGAAAUACUAGCGUGGA
rnacentral:sRNA from 27 species